ACGCUCACCUGGACUGAAGUCAGGUAUCUGUAGCUGUAACAAACCUGUUCUCGGAGUUUCAGUUGUUUGUUUGUUUGUUUGUUGUUUGUUUGUUUCAGAAGCAGCAUCAAGUCUUCCAACCACCAGUCCUCCUCCUCCUCCUCCUCCUCCUCUCUGUCCUCCUGCUCCUCCUCGUCGGCGUUGGCUCAGGAGCUUUCCCAGCAGGCCUCGGCGCUGCCCGAGGCCGAGGCCAACAGCCAGGUGGACUGGACCUACGACCCCAACGAGCCCCGAUACUGCAUCUGUAACCAGGUUUCUUACGGAGAAAUGGUCGGCUGCGACAACACAGACUGUCCCAUCGAGUGGUUCCACUACGGCUGCGUGGGUCUGACGGAGGCCCCCAAAGGGAAGUGGUUCUGUCCUCAGUGCACGGCCGCCAUGAAGAGGAGAGGCAGCCGCCACAAAUAGACCCUGACGUCCAGGUCGUCCUCACCACACGCAGCAACGCCACAGAGGUCAGAGGUCAACGGGCCGGCCGCAAACGAGACGCUAAAAACGCUCACAUUCAAACCAGAAGACAGACGGGUGUCUGUGUUUUUCUCUGAGGACACAGAGACAAACACUUUGAUCCGUCCGGUCCACAGCUCGAAUCGUCUAUCAGACUGAAACCAGAACUCAGAUGUUUCAACACUAAUUUCAUGGUUUCCUCCUGCUAAAGUCAAAAUGUUAAAAACUCAAACUGUCGGUCAAACAGGAGCAUCAAAGUAACGUCUGAUCCCAUUAUUGAAGACGUCUUCACGCUGGACAGACUGUGGACGUGUCAACAAUAAUCUCACACAUUUGGUUUCCAGCAGAAAAACAAAACAGACAUUUAAAAAAGUGAACCAGCUUUAAGGGGACCGCACAGACUCCCAGAGGUCAGAGGUCAGCCUGCUGGGUUAAGGUUAAACCAGAGGACUAAAGGUCGGAGCGGAGGACCGACGUCUCUGCAAAACACGCUCAGUUAUGAGACAGAUCCUUAAAAAGUUUCGGCGAUUAAAAUUCAGAUCAGCACAUUAAAUUAGCCAGCUGAAAUAAAGUGGACCUGAACAAAAGUUCAAACCUUUGAUCUCAAAAUCUUAGACAGAAAUAUUGGAUUUUGAGGACAGGAUCAGAACUCAGACUCUGAUUUAAAUCACUCUGCAGUCUUUGAGGACAGGAAUUUGACUUUUGUUCUCAUAUUCUGACUUUAACGUAACAUCAUUCGAUCAAAAGUCCAACUUGUUUUACCUCAAAGUUCGAAUGUCUGUGAACCCUGAAUUAAUAGAUUACAGUUUUACUUUUCCGGCAUAAAUCGCAGAAUUCAGACUUUAUUAAUCUUCCAUCUUUAUCCACGAAAAUAAGACUUUUUUCAUUGUCACAGUCAGUUUAGUUUAUUUGCAAACAAUUUAAAACUGCAUGAAGUCCAGAUGAAUAAAACGUGAGACCCCCCGCUAUUUCAAAACAACAAACAAAAACAAAACAAACAAAAACCCCGAAAAUUACAACAAAAGCUAAAUGACAAUAAAGAGCAGAAAAAGGUCAGUAAACACUCAUCCAACAGCAGAAAAAAGGAAAUAUUUUCUAUAUACGCACAUCCAGAAAUAAUGAAAGAACGACUUUUUCAAAGAUGAUUAAAACGUGACGACGGUUUUAGGAAGAAUUUUGACUUUUUAAAAACAUAAUUUCUUUUUCCCACUUUAUUUGUAAUUUGUCCAAAUUCUGACGCGUUACAUUUCAUUAAUCUGAGGCCUGUUUCUGUCUUAAAUCUGAGAACGCUGACGGAUGUUCGUGACGUUUGUCUCACAGUAAAUGUUCCCAUGAGGCCGUGCUCCUCUCCUCUGCUGGGUUGUUAAAAAAAAAAAAAAAAAAAAAAAAAAAAAAAACUACAAACAUGGCGGGCGAUUGGACUACAAGUACAGAAGAAGCUGUUUGGAACCGUUAAAAUUAAAAUGAACCAGAUGUGUGUGUGUGUGUGUGUGUGUGUGUGUGUGUGUGUGUGUGUGUGUGUG